rnacentral:sRNA from 1 species
AUUUUGCGUUAACGAUUGCAGUGGCAUCCUUUUUUUCUUUUCAGAAAAAAAGAUACAGCGGAAAGCGUGUUAAAAC